UACGUAGGGUGCAAGCGUUGUCCGGAAUUACUGGGCGUAAAGCGUGCGUAGACGGUUACAUAAGUCGGGUGUGAAAGCCCCGGGCUCAACCUGGGAAUUGCAUUCGAGACUGCGUAGCUAGGGUGCGGAAGAGGGAAGCGGAAUUUCCGGUGUAGCGGUGAAAUGCGUAGAUAUCGGAAGGAACACCAGUGGCGAAAGCGGCUUCCUGGUCCAGCACCGACGUCAGGCACGAAAGCGUGGGGAGCAAACAGG
rnacentral:rRNA from 1 species